rnacentral:rRNA from 1 species
GUACAACGAGUCGCAAACCGGCGACGGUAAGCUAAUCUCUUAAAACUUCUCUCAGUUCGGACUGGAGUCUGCAACUCGACUCCACGAAGGCGGAAUCGCUAGUAAUCGCGAAUCAGCAUGUCGCGGUGAAUACGUUCCCGGGUCUUGUACACACCGCCCGUCAAAUCAUGGGAGUCGGAAGUACCCAAAGUCGCUUGGCUAACUUUUAGAGGCCGGUGCCUAAGGUAAAAUCGAUGACUGGGAUUAAGUCGUAACAAGGUAGCCGUAGGAGAACCUGCGGCUGGAUCACCUCCUUUCUAAGGA